UAUUAUCUUAUAUACAUAUAUAAUUAUAUGUGCUAAAUUAACUAAAAUCUAGAAGCUAAAUAUCAUUUAUUUUGUUGGUUGCUAAUAACUAUAUGAAUUUUGUCACGAAUUAUAACUUGGC